UACAGAGGGUGCAAGCGUUGUUCGGAAUUAUUGGGCGUAAAGGGCGCGUAGGCGGUGCGGUAAGUCUGUAGUGAAAUCUCUGGGCUCAACUCAGAGUCUGCUGCAGAAACUGCCGGGCUUGAGUGUGGGAGAGGUGAGUGGAAUUCCCGGUGUAGCGGUGAAAGUGCGUAGAUAUCGGGAGGAACACCUGUGGCGAAAGCGGCUCACUGGACCACAACUGACGCUGAGGCGCGAAAGCUAGGGAGCAAACAGG
rnacentral:rRNA from 1 species